GAUGAAGAACGCAGCGAAAUGCGAUACUUGGUGUGAAUUGCAGAAUCCCGUGAACCAUCGAGUCUUUGAACGCAAGUUGCGCCCGAAGCCAUUAGGCCGAGGGCACGCCUGCCUGGGCGUCACACGUCGUUGCCCCCCCAUCUACUCCUUCGGGAUUGCGGGGGGCGGAUGAUGGCCUCCCGUGCGCCUCGCCGCGCGUGUGGCAUAAAUGCCAAGUCCUCGGCGACGCACGCCACGACAAUCGGUGGUUGCGAAACCUCGGUUGCCCGUCGUGUGCGGUCGUCGCGCAUCGAGGGCUCGAAAAAAUUGCCGGGUUCCGGCUCGGCUUUCAACGCGACCCCAGGUCAGGCGGGGUUACCCGCUGAAUUUAAGCAUAUCAAUAAGCGGAGGA
rnacentral:misc_RNA from 1 species